AGUGAACGCUGGCGGUAGGCCUAACACAUGCAAGUCGAACGGCAGCACAGUAAGAGCUUGCUCUUACGGGUGGCGAGUGGCGGACGGGUGAGGGAUACAUCGGAAUCUACUUUUUCGUGGGGGAUAACGUAGGGAAACUUACGCUAAUACCGCAUACGACCUACGGGCGAAAGCAGGGGAUCUUCGGACCUUGCGCGAUUGAAUGAGCCGAUGUCGGAUUAGCUAGUUGGCGGGGUAAAGGCCCACCAAGCCGACGAUCCGUAGCUGGUCUGAGAGGAUGAUCAGCCACACUGGAACUGAGACACGGUCCAGACUCCUACGGGAGGCAGCAGUGGGGAAUAUUGGACAAUGGGCGCAAGCCUGAUCCAGCCAUACCGCGUGGGUGAAGAAGGCCUUCGGGUUGUAAAGCCCUUUUGUCGGGAAAGAAAAGCAGCAGGUUAAUACCCCGCUGUUCUGACGGUACCCAAAGAAUAAGCACCGGCUAACUUCGUG
rnacentral:rRNA from 1 species